CUAUUCCUGAAUUCUCUAUUCCAGUGAUCUCCUUGUCUACCUUUAUGAAAACACCAUAUAUCCUGAAAACAAGUAGAUUUAUAAGUCUUGAAAUCAGGUUAUGUUAGUCUUCCAAUUUUGUUCUUUUCAGACCUAUUUUAACUAUUACAGGACUUUUACAGCCUUUCCACAAACACUUUGGAAUAAUUUAAUUUCCUUUCUUUUCUUUUUUUCUUUUGAGAUAGGUGAGGGGAAGUGGUAGAAUUGGGAGAAUAUGUAUUCCAGAAUAAAUAAAACAAAUGCAUUUAUUUACUGUAUAUU